rnacentral:rRNA from 1 species
UGGGGAAUUUUCCGCAAUGGGCGAAAGCCUGACGGAGCAAUACCGCGUGAGGGAAGAAGGUCUGUGGAUUGUAAACCUCUUUUGUUAGGGAAGAUAAUGACGGUACCUAACGAAUAAGCAUCGGCUAACUCCGUGCCAGCAGCCGCGGUAAGACGGAGGAUGCAAGCGUUAUCCGGAAUUAUUGGGCGUAAAGCGUACGUAGGCGGUUUUGUAAGUCUGUUGUCAAAGCCCGAGGCUUAACCUUGGAAAGGCAAUGGAAACUGUAAGACUAGAGAGGGAUAGGGGCAGGAGGAAUUCCAGGUGUAGCGGUGAAAUGCGUAGAUAUCUGGAAGAACACCAGUGGCGAAAGCGUCCUGCUGGAUCUCAACUGACGCUGAAGUACGAAAGCUAGGGGAGCGAA